UUCUGAGUUGAUCCGUGUUGAUUGUGGUGUUCCUUUAGCACUUACAGUGUUAAAACAGCUCUGGGGGCGGAGUUAUUGUGGCGAGUUAAGUGAUGCUCUCCUGACCGAGUUACUUGCACAUCCGGUUUCAACGCGCUCUUUCUUCUUGAAGUCACGGAAAACCCGUGGUCAGGAAGAUAUUUAGCUGUUAUUUCAGAAGGUAAGUACAAAUUAUAUUUACUUGUACAGGCUGUUCAUCUUCAUAUGAAAUGAUGUGUUAACUUCAAGUGUGGUGAGACGUGUUUUAUAUUUUAGUGAAGCUUGUGACUAAUAGCUAACUUAACGUUAGUUGGUUGAAGGGAGGCAAAAUAAGCCAGGAAGUGUAACAUCAGUCAAUAAAUAUGUAUGAACCUGUUCAAACCGGCCGAGCAUAUUUAAUUCCAGGCCAAAUUAAUAAAUAGACUUUUUUUGUUUCAGUACAUUUCUUUAAGAAUAUUUAACUUAAUUAUGCCACAUUAUUUUGCCAUCAGAAAUUCGACGAUCCACCAUGACAGGACAUAAACGAGAGUUUCCGGUACUUCUGCCUCGAGGGCUAGCUUUACUAACGGGAGUUUCGCGGUACUGCUGUGUCGAGGGCUAACGUUACUAACGGUAGUUUCGUGGUACUGCUGUCUCGCGCGCUAACUUUACUAACGGUAGUUUCGUGGUACUGUUGUGUCGAGGGCUAACGUUAGUUUCGCGGUAGGCCUACUGCUGUCUCGCGCGCUAACUUUACUAACGGUAGUUUCGCGGAACUGCGGUCUCGCUGGCUUGCAUUUCACCGGCGUAUGGUUUAAUUGGCCGACUUUUAUCGCAGGUAUAUGCUAAACUGCGAUAGGGACUAAAGAGGAAAAAGCGAGUGCCUAAUUGAUACUAAAACGGUAAUUAUAGCCUCCCAACAUCUCUGAGACUAAGGUUCUAACGUUAACUUAGCUAUACCCUGUAACUUUAGCCACUUGUUGGACAUGUUUAAUAACUCCUUGCCUAGAGAAAGUUGAACAGCUAUCUUUUUCCACUCUGUACAGUUUCUGCAAGAUAUCACCAUGCUGCUGAAGGUGAAAUACCAGAGGACCAAGAAGUACAUCCGAUUACAGCUAGGUUUCACCUAUUUGGAAUUCAUCACUGCAGUCAAAAACAAAUUUGGACUCCAUGAUGCAGCUGAACUUCACAUAUUUGAUGAAACUGACACCGCAGUGGAGGAAGACAUUCUUCUUGAACUGAUAGAGUCCAAUCCAGACCUUUGCCUGAUCGUGCGUGCCAGCAUUUCAGAUGAAGAUCAUUCAACACCAUCUUCUCUCACGGAUACCAUGACGCUUUCUUCAAGUGACAAUGACCUCUCCGGUCAAAGACAAAGAGGGAUUUUGAGCUCUGAGGUCAUGGACAGGUCUACAAAAAAGGUUUCGGAUUCAGAGGCUGCAAAAGAGAUGGUAGAAAAUGCUUUGCUCACCAAACCUGGAGGUGAAGAUGUCCUUGAAGAGUACAAGUCAGGAAAUUCGCUGAAGCACCGCACCCGUAGACAGCUUGUCAACAUGUUGGCUAGCCAUAUGACUGAAAUGGAUGGCUGAAUCAAGACUUCACACUGCCGUUUGGUGCUGAGACGGCUUCCAAGAUGCUCGAGAAGUGGGAUACAGCAUUCAAGCCCACGGUCAUCAAAGAGGCCAAACACCUGACUCCGUCAACUGAGCUGUGCCAACUUCUGACAGCUGCAGAGAACCUUCCAGAAGAUGAUCAUACCGACGGGGACAGUGACAUGGCUUCUCUGCUGCUGCUUCUCCAUCUCUUGCCACCCACAGCUGGACGGAAGAGGAUCAAAAUCAGUCCCAGUGAUGCAGUGGGAAAAAUGUUGCAUUUUCACAAGUCAUGCUGCAGCAUCAGUGAACACCUGCUGGGAAGAGAGGCUAAACAACCGUACAUCCUUGCUGUUGGCCGAAACAAAAACAGAAUCGAUGCCUUCUCCAUCGUUGUGGAUAAACGGCUCAUCCCCUGCCAAGCUACGAGCUCGUUGGGUGCUUUUGAUGAACUAUUUAAAUCCCACUACGUGUUCAACCUGUCUUACGAUGAAACUUUGGUCCCACUCUUCACCUUUGUGCAGACAACAGUCGACAACAUCGAUAUUACAACAACAGAUCAGUCUCCAAGAGUACGUGAGUUCUGGGCGAAGGUCUUGCACGUGGUUUAAAAAUGAAGUGUUUCAUUUGUGGUGUUGUACAUGCGGCCUGCCAGGAGUUAAUUUUUGUAAAUGUGCAUGAUUGUGCUUUGAAGAUAUUUUCUGGAUAAAAUAAAAAUAAUUGUAUCAAUAAUU